GCGGUAAUACGGAGGGGGCUAGCGUUGUUCGGAAUUACUGGGCGUAAAGCGUACGUAGGCGGAUCAGAAAGUAGGGGGUGAAAUCCCGGGGCUCAACCUCGGAACUGCCUCCUAAACUCCUAGUCUUGAGUUCGAGAGAGGUGAGUGGAAUUCCAAGUGUAGAGGUGAAAUUCGUAGAUAUUUGGAGGAACACCAGUGGCGAAGGCGGCCAUCUGGACGGUGACUGACGCUGAGACUCGAAAGUGUGGGUAGCAAACAGGAUUAGAUACCCUGGUAGUCCACACCGUAAACGCUGUCUACUAACUGUUUGUGGAUUUAAUCCGUGAGUAGUGAAGCUAACGCGAUAAGUAGACCGCCUGGGGAGUACGGUCGCAAGAUUAAAACUCAAAG
rnacentral:rRNA from 1 species